UCUUCAUUCUUCUUUGCUUUCCUGCCCCACAGGUGGAUAGUCAGUCCUCUUCAUCCACACACUCCCACUAUGACAUACUGUGUGUCCAAACCAACUCCUUCAAGUUCUUCAGUUACCUAGGAGACAAACUUCUGGUCAUGCCUGGGAAGAUUAUCCUGAUUGCCACCUUUCCCUGGAUUGUGUUUGAAAGAAGCUAGCUGCACACAAAGGUUCAUCUCUCUGCUUCCUAAGGAUACAAUGUAACCACCUGCACUGAGUCCCUUCACCAGGACUUCCCUACCAUGAUAGACAGUACCUUUGACCUGUGAACUCAAAUAAGCUGUCUCCUUGAGUCAGGUAUUAUGUCACAGCAACAGGAAAAGCAACUAACAGUGAAAACGAAGACCCCAGAAUGCUUCUCGGACCCCACUGCACCAUCACUCCUUGAAGAGUGAUAACAUUGUGGCUUCUUCAUAAA